AUUGAACGCUGGCGGCAUGCCUUACACAUGCAAGUCGAACGGUAACAGGUCUUCGGAUGCUGACGAGUGGCGAACGGGUGAGUAAUACAUCGGAACGUGCCCGAGAGUGGGGGAUAACGAGGCGAAAGCUUUGCUAAUACCGCAUACGAUCUCAGGAAGAAAGCAGGGGACCGCAAGGCCUUGCGCUCACGGAGCGGCCGAUGGCAGAUUAGGUAGUUGGUGGGAUAAAAGCUUACCAAGCCGACGAUCUGUAGCUGGUCUGAGAGGACGACCAGCCACACUGGGACUGAGACACGGCCCAGACUCCUACGGGAGGCAGCAGUGGGGAAUUUUGGACAAUGGGCGCAAGCCUGAUCCAGCCAUGCCGCGUGCAGGAUGAAAGCCUUCGGGUUGUAAACUGCUUUUGUACGGAACGAAAAGACUCUGGUUAAUACCUGGGGUCCAUGACGGUACCGUAAGAAUAAGCACCGGCUAACUACGUGCCAGCAGCCGCGGUAAUAC
rnacentral:rRNA from 1 species